CCACUAGACCAUAUUGCUCAAAGCCAGGCCUUGAAGAUUCUCCAGCUUUCUUGAGUAUUAUUAGAAGAGGCUUCUAAACGCUCUACUGCUGCUGUUGCAUGUUGUGUAGGGUUGCGAAAUCAGCUAGGUGAACAGUUAGCUUCUUAGAGGGUCCACGGAUAAGGAAAUCGUGUGUCCCAGUAGUCGAAAGGUGGAAGAAAACAACUAAAUGAGAUUACAUUCAUUGUUAAUUAAGAUUAAAUUACCUUUAGUAAUACUUUCCAUUACCAUUCAUUCUAUAAUUUGGCAAACUUUAGUAGUCUAGUAACUUAUUUUAAUAAUGCCUGACAGUGUGUUUACUCCAGGCAACAAUAUGACUUCUUACUGACUGCGUUUGAGAGAGUUGUUUGUCAUAGCUUUUUGUUGCUCUAAAAACUCGUAUGAUCAGAAUGAGCUAAGAUGACAAUAAAACACACUGAAAGGCAUGUAACUCUUGUCAUUUUUGUUUGAAAAAACUUGUUUCAUGAACCCAGAUUAACCUGCAUUUAGAAAAAAAAUUUAUUAGGUAUUAACUUUGUAUGAUUUCACAUAUACCUGUGUAUCUAAAUCAGCACUAGAAGUAAUCAUCCAAAACUGGUCUCUAAUUUGGAGCCAGGAAAAUAGAUUUCUGCAAUUUAGGCCAAAUAAAUACUCCUGGCUGUAAACCAGGCAGCUUCAAAGCUGUACAGAGCUGUAUGAUGGUGACCAUACUGCACACGCAUAGAAGGCUUAAACUGCAGGGGACCUGGGGAGAGACAGAAUCUCUUUCUGUGACUUUAAAUAUGGAUACUGCUCCAAACAUAGUAUCAAAGCAACUCAUUUCUGGAUUUCAAAGGUGCCAUUCCGAGAUGAGGGAAAUUUCUAAGGAGUCUUUGGGUUUGACUCUGGGGUGUAUACAUGUUCAAAAUAUGCAAAGAAUCAUCUGUUAACUAACUGUAUUAAGCGAUUAUAUUCUAGUUGUUAAUAUUUAUGGGGCUUUGUUAUAAAAAUGUUUAUAUGGUAUUUCACACAUUUCUAAUUCAUCCAAGGAUGUUCUAGUUACCAGAUUAAUUCUUAAUAAUCUGAUAUGUUUAGCUGUAACUAGGAACACCAGUGAAACAACCCAAGGAAAUUUUUAGUUCUAAGAAUUAUGCAAACUAGUGAAAUUGUAUUGCAAAAGCCUUUCCUGUUCAGAGCAUUUUAUCACUGAAGUUCAUGCAAACAGGCCUCUUCCUAUUUGUUGCUUGCUGUUCAUACUUGAAAGUUAUUUCUUAUACAGGUCUUCAUUUUGUCCUAGAUGCAGGUUAUUGACGGAUACUUUCUAGUUUGGGAUGGUUUUUAUUUUCCUCGUUAUAUGACAUUUAUGGGAUGUUCAUGAUGUGCUAGCUGCAUGGUUGCUCAACAGUGCUACUUUAGCAGCAAAGUAAAUAACACAAUUCUCAGUAGCUGCUGGCAAUACAAGUUCAGCAGCCCUAAAUUGUACCUAAGAGUUAAAAAGUGAGUGUAGGCAGAUGUGUUAUCUAUGAUGGAGCUGCUCAACACUUGCCUUUUGUCAGAGUAGCUGCAAACAGGAUCUUUAAACUGUGACAAACUUCUGUUGUUUCAGAAUGACUGCUUUAGGCAGGUGUUCGCCUCAGGAUGAGUUCUUUAUUUUUCAAAAUACUGUCUUUGAGGAGACUGAUACCUCAGCUUACACUAAGAGAUGAGGAAAAUACUGUUUUCCCAUGUUAGAAGCCAUUUUGCUUUCAUUUCUUUCCGUUUCUCAAGCAAAAGAGACAUAAGAAACCAAGAAAACUGUGACAUUUGACCAUGGUAUAAAUGCUGUGAGAAAGAAGGGGAAAGUAUAGCUUCAGGCAAACAUACUUAGUAAAGCUUCCUCCUUAAGGAAGUCAUCCUGCUUAAACAGGCUGAACUGUGUCAUUUUCAAAGAGUAAUGAAUAAGUUCAGGUAUGGCUCUGUCAGAAGAGGUGUUAGGGAAAAUAACCUUUUCUUGCACUCUGUCUUUGCUCUGAGACCUAGACUGAGAAUUUAAAUGUUUACUGGCAGAUGAUUUAGGUGCUAAAGUAGCCUGAAAUAGCAGAUGCACAGUUGCAGGAUUUGACAUAAAUUGACAUAGUAGAUUACAGCCAUCAAGUGUGGCUG